rnacentral:rRNA from 1 species
UACAGAGGUGGCAAGCGUUGUUCGGAAUUACUGGGCGUAAAGGGCGCGUAGGCGGUCUUGCAAGUCCUGUGUGAAAUCCCUCGGCUCAACUGAGGAACUGCACAGGAAACUGCUUGGCUUGAGUUCGGGAGAGGGAAGCGGAAUUCCGGGUGUAGCGGUGAAAUGCGUAGAUAUCGUAAGGAAGACCAGUGGCGAAGGCGGGUCUCUGGACAGGUUCCUGACGCUGAGGCACGGAAGGC